GACUCUUAAAUUGUGGUACCGCUGCAUUUAUUAGAUUUAAGCCAACUUGUAAUUGGUGAUUCAUGAUAAAUUUGCGAAUCGCAGUGCCUUAAUUGGCGGCGAUGAAUCAUUCAAGUUUCUGCCCCAUCAGCUGUCGACGGUAAGGUAUUGGCUUACCGUGGCUUUCACGGGUGACGGAGAAUUAGGGUUUGAUUCCGGAGAGGACGCUUGAGAGACGGCGACCACAUCCAAGGAAGGCAGCAGGCGCGUAAAUUACCCAAUGGGGACUCCCCGAGGUAGUGACAAGAAAUACAAAUGAGGAGCGCUUUGCGUUUUUCAAUUUGAAUGAGAGAAUCGUACAAUCCUCAUCGAGGAUCAAUUGGAGGGCAAGUCUGGUGCCAGCAGCCGCGGUAACUCCAGCUCCAAUAGCAAAUAUUAGAGUUGUUGCAGUUAAAAAGCUCGUAGUUGAAUUUCCGGUAGUCGUUGUCCGCCCCAUGUGCAUGUAUUUGCGCGUUUGGUUUGGUUGUGACGAGGCAGCCGUCCUGGCGUAUCGUUAGAUGCGCCUCGUUUACUGUAAAAAAACUGGAGUGUUUCAAGCAUUUCUUGUGAAAAGAACAUAUUAGUAUGGAAUAAUAAGAUAGGACCUGUGUCUCUUAUUUUGUUGGUUUGUGAGUCAUGGUAAUGAUUAAUAGGGACAAUCGGGGGUAUUCGAAUUUAAUUGUCAGAGGUGAAAUUCUUGGAUUUAAGAAAGUCGAACUACUGCGAAGGCAUUUACCAAGGAUGUUUUCAUUAAUAAAGAACGAAAGUUAGGGGAUCGAAGAUGAUUAGAUACCAUCGUAGUCUUAACUGUAAACUAUGCCGACUUGCGAUUGUCCGUCGUCAGGAAUUCUUUCAUACGACAUGGGCAGCAGCACAUGAGAAAUCAAAGUUUUUGGGUUCCGAGGGGAGUAUGAUCGCAAGGUUGAAACUUAAAGGAAUUGACGGAAGGGCACCACCAGGAGUGGAGCCUGCGGCUUAAUUUGACCCAACACGGGAAAACUUACCAGGUCCAGACAAAGUAAGGAUUGACAGAUUGAGAGCUCUUUCUUGAUUCUUUGGGUGGUGGUGCAUGGCCGUUCUUAGUUGGUGGAGUGAUUUGUCUGGUUAAUUCCGUUAACGAACGAGACCUCAGCCUACUAAAUAGUGGGGUUGUAUUGCGAGAUAUACUGCCGCUUCUUAGAGGGACAUCCCC
rnacentral:rRNA from 1 species